GUCUUUGCAUCGGAACUAAACACAUUUAUUUCUAUAAAAACAGUUGUUGGCAUGACACGGGUUAUGUUCUUCUCAUAUAUUUUAUGAUAGUAUGAUACUAAACCCCUAACGGGAGGGAUUGUACCUGAUAUUCAUAUGAUGAAGACAUAAUCUUUCAAUCAGUUUAAUUGAGAUCUGGAGCUGGCAUGUCAGUUAACUGCUAGUAGUCUGUUGUAAUUUAUGUAUUAUUGUCAUUUUAUUUAUUUUCUUUCGUUACAUCUUUUGACAUCAGACUCGGACUUCUCUUGAACUGAAUUUUAAUGUGCGUAUUGUUAUUCUUUUACUUUUCUACAUUGGCUAGAGGUAUAGGGGGAGGGUUGAGAUCUCAUAAACAUGUUUAACCCCGCCGCAAUUUUGC
rnacentral:lncRNA from 1 species